CCUGUAAGCUGAAGCUUGAUUUGAAACAGCCUCUCAGAUGCUAACAUAUCUUCUUUCCACAGGUCUUUGAUUUCGAGCUAUCCACAGAAGAUAUGAAAGCAAUUGAUGGACUCAAUCGAAAUUUGCGAUACUUGGAACUGCCAGUGUAUGUUUACUUAGUACUUUGGUGGAAAAAUACAAAUGAUUAAAAAGCAUAUGUUUUUAUGUCUGUAGAAGAAAAACAGAGAAAUCAGACAGGCAAUUAGACAGGUCUCUGAAAAGCAAGCUGUACUGUAAUGAUAGGUGCCCAAAUAGGUGCUACUGUAAAAUGGCCAAUAUGUUCUAAGGUGGGAGUAUCUGUAUUAUUUUUUUAUGUUCUAUAUCAGCAUCCCAAAAAUUAUUUAAAUCGUUUAGAUAACCAUGUGAUAUAGAAAUAAAAAUGGUUUAAGGGUUCCUUAUAAAUAAAAUAAGAUAAUAAAUAAGAUAAUAGGGUUCAUAAUAAAUAAGAUGCCAAUUAAUUGCAAUAUUUUCACUUAAUACAUACUGUAUCUUUUAUAGUACAUGAUUUGUAGGGUUAGAACUUGGGUUCUUUUGAUCUUAAGACAGCAGCAGGACAUACAUUACAUUAAAUUCCAAUGCAGCAGCUACUUUUCCUAGAUACUGCCAUUAUCCAUACAUAAUGAUAUGAUGGGAGAAGAGAUGGGGAGAGAAAAUCAUGCAAGAAAAAGAACCCUGACUAUAAUUGUAUUUAUUUUUUAAUUAAAAAAGAUAUGUGCACAUUACAUUUUAUUAGGGUGUGCAUCCAGUCAUUUUUGUAAUAACAUUUGAAUUAUUAAUUCAUUAUUAAAUACUUUAAAGGGACACUCCUCCAUCCAAAUAUAAACAUUUUUUUUAAAUCUCUGUGUAAUAGAUAUGCCCUCAUUAAAAAACAUACAUGCAUUUUUGUUUUAAUUGGGGGAAUAUCUAAAAACAGCUUGUAAAAAGCAGCAGAUCUCUGGUCCGAGGUCUUCUUAUCCAGUUCAGUCUUUCUGUGGCUGUCCAAUCACAAACUUCCCAAUGCAGCUCAAUGAUAAGUCUUUGCAAGGCAGGUGAUCUAGGCAAUGGCCUGCAUCUAGUAUAUAGCUCCACUGAGCUAACCAAACCAGGAAGUAGCAAUAACAGUUGUAAGAUUGAUUAAUGCUUUUUUUUUCCUCUUUCUGUUUCUGAAGGUUUGGAUCGCAUCCCCAGUAUCCCUUCUUUGACGAAUACUAAAUUACAACACAUAUUGUAAUAUAUGAUAUUGAAAUGAUCUUGAAAUAAGUCAUAAUCGUUGGUGCUGGAAAGGACAAAAAUGCUAUUCUAUUCAAUUUGGAUAUAUAUUUUUUUUUUAAUUCAAAAAUUGUUUUAAUAAAUGUCUUCACUCUGUGUAUAUCUUUUUUAUUUUAUGGGACAAAAUUGUUUCUAAAUUUACAUAACAAUAAAAAUUUAUAGUUAAGUACAAUUCAUUUAAAAUUACAAUACAACAAAAAUAGCAUAUAAGAUAAAGACAGCAGGAAAUGAUACAAAAGAGUGACCUGAAAACACCUUACAACCAAUUAUAUGAAAAGAUAUCAAGAAACAUAUCAAGAAAAUAUUAAAGGACCACUAUAGGCACCCAGACCACUUCAGCUUAAUGAAGUGGUCUGGGUGCCAGGUCCAGAUAGCAUUAACCCUUUUUUUUUAUAAACAUAGCAGUUUCAGAGAAACUGCUAUGUUUACACUGAGGGUUAAUCCAGCCUCUAAAGCCUCUAGUGGCUGUCUCAUUGACAGCUGCUAGAGGCGCUUGCGUACUUCUCACAGUGAAAAUCACAGUGAGAAGACGCCAGCGUCCAUAGGAAAGCAUUAUGAAUGCUUUCCUAUGAGACUGGCUGAAUGUGCGCGCGGCUCCUGCCGCGCAUGCCCAUUCAGCCGAUGACGUCGAUAGGAAGGAGAGGAGGAAAGCUCCCCGACCAGCGCUGGAGAAAGGUAAGUGUUUAACCCCUUCCUCUCCCCAGAGCCCGGCGGGAGGAGGACCCUGAGGGUGGGGGCACCCUCAGGGCACUAUAGUGCCAGGAAAACGAGUAUGUGUUUCUGGCACUAUAGUGGUCCUUUAAGCUGACAAAAGGCUGGAUAAUCUUUGCAGACUUAGUGUUGACUCGGCUUACUGAAUAGUAAUUUUCCCAAAAACUUAAAUGGAGGAAAUGCUAUUCAUUUCAGCAGGGUCAGAUUAACAUAGGAGCUAAUGGAGCUGUAAUCCAGGCCCACGCCCAUGUAAUAGACCAAUUGAUCCUAAAUAAAUAAAUUAAUAUUUUUUUUUCUGCUUUACUACUCUUCAUCCGUAUGCUCUUGCUCUAAAACGUUGUGCAGAGUGAACUGAGUAUCUGAACUUUGUAGCGAUGCACGAGCGCAGGCAGAGCCGGAUUAACAGAGGGGCUAUAGAAAAGGCCCAUUGAGAUAAAAAAAAAAAAAGAUAUGCUCUUGCUUUGUGCAGAGGGAAUUGAGUAUGGAAACUUAGAAUGGAUGUAUGGGAACAAAGCUGAGUGUCUUUUUAUAAAUUAGUUAAGAUAAAGCUGACUUUGCACACUGUGCAAAUGCUCUUGCUAAUUUGGUUUCUCUAACAGAGUGGGAUAUUCCCUUUCUUCGACACUCAAUACAUCCACCAUUUUCUCUGCCCCAGACUGCAUACCAGGAGCUUCUGCCUGCUACCAAGAAGGGAAGGAGAGGAGAGGACAAGUGAGUGCUGGGAACACCAGAGAGUUAAUCCCAGAAAGCAUAGAGUGAGUUUAUCAUUAGAGGCAUUCAUGCCAAGCUCAUGGUUCUGAGACACAGCUGUCUGCAUAACAAGCCCUUAGUUAUGGGGGAUGCUGCUUGUGGUAUUGCCUGUGUGGGGGAGGUUGCUUGUGAUGUUUUAUCUUUGCGGGGAUACUGCUUGUUAGGUUGCAUAUAUAGCCGCUUGAGCGUUGCAUGUGUGUGAAUAGAGGCUGCUUGUCGUGCUGAUUGUUUCUGGGUAUUCUGCUUGUGGAGUUGUAUAUGUAUGAGGAGACACUGCUUGUUUAAUUGCGGGUUGUGGGGAGGAUGGUGCUUAUAGUUGUGUGUGUGAAUGUGGCUGUUUGCAGUAUAGUAUGUGUGUGUGCAUGUGUAUAGGAGCUGUAGAGUGUGUGUUUAGGGGGGAUAAGGUCUGUAGUGAGUAUUUACGGGAUAAGGGUUGAGGGGUGUGUUUGGAGGGGAUAGGGGCCUUAGUGUGUUUUUGUGGGGGAUAUGAGUUGCAGGGUGUGAUUGGGGGGAUAGAAUUGUUGUGUGUUUUUUGGUGGAAAAGAGGCUAUAGUGGGGAGAAUUUGGGUUGUAGUGUGUCUUUAGUGGGAGGAAAUUGGGUCUGCAUUAUGUUUGUGUAUGGGAGGCGAAAAUGGCAGCUGUACUGUGGGUGGAUUUGGGCUAUUGUGUGUGGGGGGGAGUAAUUAGUGCUGUUGUGAGUAACCCAUGUGAGUGUUCAUGGGACAGCCAAAUCCAUGGGCCACUCUGCUGCAUGAGAAUGGACUGGCCGGUUAAGAUCUUUAAAGUUCCCACUAGCUAUAGCGCCUCUCUCUUGCCUGUCACCCCAAGGUUGUGGUCUUGUGCGAAAGUCCUUGGUAUAUCAUUCUGCAAGAUUGGCAGCCAGCCCGAUGUGCAUUCACGCUGGGCUGACCAUCUAAUUCUUUGUGCAGACAUCCCCCCUUUUUGGGCAUGUAUGUCCCUUUGGUCGGUUCUGGUUGCGUGAUUUACAUCAGUGGCCCACCCUAUUACUCUGCCUUUUGAAAUGGAUUUACUUAAAAGAUGAAAGCAAGAGAUUAGCAUAGGUUAUGUGCUAUAUCCUGUGAGUUUCCUUUCAGCACCACCUGCACCAGAUACAUGACGCGUGGGAGGUAUAACUGUUUUAGUGUUUUCUGUCGAUAAGUUUCUGUAAAUAGGCCCAUCAGAAUUGUCUGCACCAGGCCCAAUGAGCUCUUAAUCAUGCCCUGGCAACGCAUACAGCGUGGAGCCAUUAACACAUGCCCUAAUCAAAUGAUACCUGCUGUUCCCAAUUAGUAGCAGGGAAGCAGUCCUUUAAAAUUGUGUCUGGAGGAUAAUUCCAUAAAUGAUCAGGAAAGAGCUAAAAAGAUAAAAUUAAUUUAAAAAUACAAUAAAAUAGUAAAUAUGAUGAAAAAUAUAAAAAUAAAAGAAGAA
rnacentral:lncRNA from 1 species